AGUGAACGCUGGCGGUAGGCCUAACACAUGCAAGUCGAACGGCAGCACAGUAAGAGCUUGCUCUUACGGGUGGCGAGUGGCGGACGGGUGAGGAAUACAUCGGAAUCUACUUUUUCGUGGGGGAUAACGUAGGGAAACUUACGCUAAUACCGCAUACGACCUACGGGUGAAAGCAGGGGAUCUUCGGACCUUGCGCGAUUGAAUGAGCCGAUGUCGGAUUAGCUAGUUGGCGGGGUAAAGGCCCACCAAGGCGACGAUCCGUAGCUGGUCUGAGAGGAUGAUCAGCCACACUUGAACUGAGACACGGUCCAGACUCCUACGGGAGGCAGCAGUGGGGAAUAUUGGACAAUGGGCGCAAGCCUGAUCCAGCCAUACCGCGUGGGUAAAGAAGGCCUUCGGGUUGUAAAGCCCUUUUGUUGGGAAAGAAAAGCAGCAGGUUAAUACCCCGCUGUUCUGACGGUACCCAAAGAAUAAGCACCGGCUAACUUCGU
rnacentral:rRNA from 1 species